rnacentral:lncRNA from 1 species
AGUAACUGUUAUGGCCCAUUCCCUAGCCACGCCACCCCCCGCAGCCAGCCCUUCCCCUUUCUCCACCAAAUCUACGAAGAACACAACCACCCAUGUUCCAUCUCUAGGGUUUCACAGAGAUUCUAAGCCUCUCUCUCAUUGCAGUCUUCUCCAUCGCAGGUUAGUUCCUUUUGCGUUUCUAUAUAUACUAAUGAACACUUAGCAAAUGGGUAUUAAGAAUAUGUAAAUAUAUUAUAGGACGAUGAAUGGGUAAUAGCUCUCACCACUGCAUGCAUAUAUGUUAAACUUGGCGAAGUUGAUGAGAUAAGGUGUUGGUGCAGGACUGUGAGCUUGGGUUUGGCAGGUGCAUUGGUGGGCUUGAACAUUGGUGACCGGAGUGCUAAUGCAGCUGCUAGAAGGCCGCCACCUCCACCACCACAGGAGAAAAAGGACCCGAAUUUAAGUGGCGUGCAAGCGAAAGUUUUAGCUAGCAAGAAGAGGAAGGAAGCUAUGAAAGAGUUUGCGGCCAAGCAAAGAGAGAAAGGAAAACCCAUAAAUCAA